GCAGCCUAGCGGUAAGAUCGGCAGGCAGCCUAGAGGUAAGACCGGCAGGCAGCCUAGAGGUAAGGCAGUGACACUUUGGAGUUGUACUGUAUACUCAAGUCAUUUGAUCAUUCUUAGAUUUAUUGAGUUGUUUAAAAUAAUUUGUUUUAUUUAAUACUUCUGUUGAAUAGUUUGAACUGGAAGCUACAACCUUCGGACUUCACAAUGAUGGUAAGACAUUACAUUUAUUUGUUUUCUUAUUGCAUAUUUUGUAUGUGUACUUCAAUAUUAAACUGGUAGAUGGUAGAUUUUGUUUGAAAUUUGAUAAAAUUAUAGUUUAAAGGAGCAAUUUGCAGUUAGAAAUAUAACAAUGCAACACCCCACCACUGUUUUGUGAAACGGCUGAGGGAUGGGGCUGGAGAAAUGUAACCACUCUCAAAUGUUGGACAACGACGAAGUCCAACGUCUCAACUGAGGGUUCCAUUUGCACCAUCUGCAUCACUGUCACCUGUCCAGGCCUAGUGUGACAUGGACACUGAUUACAAAAAAGUUCACUGAGAGUAGCACAUCACUAUUUCUGUAUCUUUGACAUCCUUACAAAUACUGAAAAAUACAGUAGCUCUCUCCUCUCUCUCUCUCUGUGUGUGUGUGUGUGUGUGUGUGUGUGUGUGUGUGUGUGUGUGUGUGUGUGUGUGUGUGUGUGUGUGUGUGUGUGUGUGUGUGUGUGUGUGUGUGUGUGUUUGUGUACCAGAGGAAAAUGGACGGCACUGUGAACUUCUACAGACCCUGGGACCAGUACAAAACUGGUUCUGGAAACAUCUGGAGAGGUGAGUGAGAGGCUGGGUGAGACUUCUGGAGAGUCCUGGCUGGGUGAUACUUCUGGAGAGUCCUGGCUGGGUGAUACUUCUGGAGAGUCCUGGCUGGGUGAUACUUCUGGAGAGUCCUGGCUGGGUGAUACUUCUGGAGAGUCCUGGCUGGGUGAGACUUCUGGAGAGUCCUGGCUGGGUGAGACUUCUGGAGAGUCCUGGCUGGGUGAGACUUCUGGAGAGUCCUGGCUGGGUGAGACUUCUGGAGAGUCCUGGCUGGGUGAGUGUUUACUUCAUAGAAACAUGCUCUGUCUGGAGAGUCCUGGCUGUGUGAGAGUUUACUUCAUAGAAACAUGCUAUGUCUGGAGAGUCCUGGCUGGAUGAGAGUUUACUUCAUAGAAACAUGCUCUGUCUGGAGAGUCCUGGCUGGGUGAGAGUUUACUUCAUAGAAACAUGCUAUGUUUAGAGAGUCCUGGCUGGGUGAGAGUUUACAUCAUAGAAACAUGCUCUGUCUGGAGAGUCCUGGCUGGGUGAGAGUUUACUUCAUAGAAACAUGCUCUGUCUGGAGAGUCCUGGCUGGGUGAGAGUUUACUUCAUAGAAACAUGCUCUGUCUGGAGAGUCCUGGCUGGGUGAGAGUUUACUUCAUAGAAACAUGCUCUGUCUGGAGAGUCCUGGCUGGAUGAGAGUUUACUUCAUAGAAACAUGAGGAAACAUCAAUUCUUCAGGACUGGAGAACAUCCACCUCCUUACUAAGAAGGAAGAAGGGUGGACAUGGAUGACUUUGAGGAAAACAGAGAGACUCAGAGGCUGACGGCUACAAGAUGCACGUCACUGGCUUCCAAAAAUGGAAGUGCAGGGACUCACUGAAGCUUCUUAACCGGAUAGAAAUGAACCGCCUUCGACAAAGACAAUGACGCUCCACCUCAGAAUUUUGCAAGUAGAUAAUAUGCUGCAUUUUGGUAUAUGAGUUGUCACAAUGCAAACGUCAACAGAUUGUACUUAUGGGGAAAGACACUAUGUUACUACUGUUAACUGGGCUACAUGGAAAAGUUAUUUUAUUGGAUUUUUCUUGGCCAUCUCUAUGAAGGUCAGACCAGUGUCAGACCACUGAAGAGAAGCCAGCCAGCAGGGUCUCCCAAUGUCUGUUGCAGGGGCUUAGACCCGCUACUCUGACAUUACAGUGUCUCAUUAAUCAUCCAAUCAUUGCCACCUGUAUCAGAUGAGACGUGGGAUAUCUGUUUUAUAAAUGUUGUGUGUGCUUCUGACCUGACAACUUUAACUUUAUCUACAAACAUUGUGUUGAUGACGAGCGGGACCCUGCCUUCUGGCGAUGCAGGUAAAUGUUUAAGGGUUAUCACAUCUUUACUGUCCUCUUGUUGUGUAAUGCAACCGUAUGCAACCAUAUGCAGUCAUUACAGUGCGCACAUUCCAUACAGAUUUUCAGUACCUUUCAUAAUGACUAGGUUGCAGUACCUUUCAUAAUGACUAGGUUGCAGUACCUUUCAUAAUGACUAGGUUGCAGUACCUUUCAUAAUGACUAGGUUGCAGUACCUUUCAUAAUGACUAGGUUGCAGUACCUUUCAUAAUGACUAGGUUGCAGACUGCACUCUCCUAUCUGAAACAAUCAUGUCUAGCGUCACACUUUUUGAUGAAGGGGCCUGCUUCGUGUUACGGAGAGGCAAUAGUUAGUGGAGUAGUCUAUCAAAUGUAGGUCCUUUGGCAGUUAUCAUUGCCAGACCGAAUGCCUCGAAUAGCAUGUCAUUAGCUACUUUGACCCUGCAUGACACAAUAAUUGCAGCACUAAAGGAAGGCAAUGGAAAGGAUCUGAAUGUCACGCGUAGUGUGAAGUCCCUGGGCGGAAUGAAAGUAUGUUUACAUUUGCUGACUAAAACGAGGACUGUUGUUUAUGGACUAUCCAGUAUGAAAGUAUUUGUUUUACUUUUUGACCACGAGCAAAAUACACCCAAUAAAUAAAACGUAUGAACAAAGGUA